rnacentral:rRNA from 1 species
UGAAACAUCUAAGUACCCCGAGGAAAAGAAAUCAACCGAGAUUCCCCCAGUAGCGGCGAGCGAACGGGGAGCAGCCCGGAGUCUGAAUCAGCUUGUGUGUUAGUGGAAGCGUCUGGAAAGUCGCAGGGUACAGGGUGAUACUCCCGUACACUAAAACACACAGGCUGUGAACUCGAAGAGUAGGGCGGGACACGUGGUAUCCUGUCUGAAUAUGGGGGGACCAUCCUCCAAGGCUAAAUACUCCUGACUGACCGAUAGUGAACCAGUACCGUGAGGGAAAGGCGAAAAGAACCCCGGCGAGGGGAGUGAAAAAGAACCUGAAACCGUGUACGUACAAGCAGUAGGAGCCCACUAGUUGGGUGACUGCGUACCUUUUGUAUAAUGGGUCAGCGACUUAUAUUCUGUAGCAAGGUUAACCGAAUAGGGGAGCCGCAGGGAAACCGAGUCUUAACUGGGCGUUAAGUUGCAGGGUAUAGACCCGAAACCCGGUGAUCUAGCCAUGGGCAGGUUGAAGGUUGGGUAACACUAACUGGAGGACCGAACCGACUAAUGUUGAAAAAUUAGCGGAUGACUUGUGGCUGGGGGUGAAAGGCCAAUCAAACCGGGAGAUAGCUGGUUCUCCCCGAAAGCUAUUUAGGUAGCGCCUCGUGAACUCAUCUUCGGGGGUAGAGCACUG